AUGGAUGGCGCAGCGGCGCUGAUGUGGAUGGUGGCGCAGCGGAGAUGGAUGGAGAUGGUGGUGGCUGGGCUGCAGAGGCGCACCACCACGCCGGCCUGGCCGAGACAGCGGCCUGAGGUGGAAGAAGUGGUGGGGGAGAAGAGAGAUGGAGAUAUGGCCAGGCCCGAUCGGAUCCCUCCAGCGCCUAGGGAUUUUGUUCCCCUCCUCUCAUCUGCACUUUGUGAUUUGGCCCUCUUUCUUCUCUUCUUUCUUCACAAGAAGGUCCUCCCACUUCUUUACCUAGCCCCCUGGUUACUUCUCUUCAUCUCACACAAGUCUCUUCUUCCUUCUCUUCUCUUCUUCACUCUUCUCGAUAGCCACAUAGACGGAAUCUUGACGAUUAUUAGUGCCUUUGUGCACAUUUCUGCAAGAUAG
rnacentral:rRNA from 1 species